UUGAACUCAUCGUCGUACACAGUAUUAUGUUAACGUUUUAUAUAAUGAAAAUGCACCUGGAAUCGAAUCUGCAUAAAACGGACCCGCAGCAAAGGAAUCAAUGCCAGUUUGGAAUUGUUUCUGCACCAGAAAAUCGCACAUCGCCUCGAGAUUAUCAUGAAGUUCUUCAUAUUUAUUGCAUUUGUCGUCAUCGCAUUGGUGGCUGGUGUAUAUUCGAAGCCUUCUCGAGAUUGUCCAGCCGGCAUGGAGUAUCAUCCAUGUGGUAUUUGCCAAGAGGAGCGAACUUGUGAAACCAAAGGUCGUCCUUGCCCUAUAGUUUGCUUUCCCGCACGCUGCAGUUGCCCCUACGAUAAAGUUCUUAAUAGAAACAAUGAAUGUGUUUAUAUUGACCAAUGUUAAUAGAAAACGGAAAAAUGUUUAAACGUUGCAAGCGUAAUGAAAAAUUGAGAAAUUUCUAAUUACUGUGAAAUAAAUUGAUAUUCACUCAGAA